UAGGGAAUCUUCCGCAAUGGACGAAAGUCUGACGGAGCAACGCCGCGUGAGUGAUGAAGGCCUUCGGGUCGUAAAACUCUGUUGUUAGGGAAGAACAAGUACCGGAGUAACUGCCGGUACCUUGACGGUAUCUAACCAGAAAGCCACGGCUAACUACGUGCCAGCAGCCGCGGUAAUACGUAGGUGGCAAGCGUUGUCCGGAAUUAUUGGGCGUAAAGCGCGCGCAGGCGGGCCUUUAAGUCUGAUGUGAAAGCCCACGGCUCAACCGUGGAGGGUCAUUGGAAACUGGGGGACUUGAGUGCAGAAGAGGAAAGCGGAAUUCCACGUGUAGCGGUGAAAUGCGUAGAGAUGUGGAGGAACACCAGUGGCGAAGGCGGCUUUCUGGUCUGUAACUGACGCUGAGGCGCGAAAGCGUGGGGAGCAAACA
rnacentral:rRNA from 1 species